UCUUGCGUGAAAUCUCUUGGGCCAUAAAGUACUUUUCUGUCAGCACAAGAGGACUACAAUAUUUCCCACAAAUGACGCAAAGCCCAGUCGGCAAAGAUAUCAGAGAGCACAUCCUGGAAGGGCAAUUAGAAGCCCAUAAACUCAUCUUACUGAUAACAGUGGCACCUAUAAGAAAGAGAAGUAAAGUUGUCGUCUGCCAACAGAACGAUGAUGCUGCCCGUGAUCUGUGUGUUUGCCGUCUUUGGAUGCAUCCUGGCCGAUGCAGCCGUCCUGACGAACAGCAACCCUCUGCAAGUGGCAGUUCAGCCAGGACAGGCUUCCGUUUUGCUCAACAGCGGUGCUCAGCCUGCUCAGCCUCAACAACCCCCUCAGCCUCUUCAACAGCGACAGGACACCUUGGCCGUCAAUAGACCACCCCCUGGUCUUGGUCUCUUCUAAACCCACGUUUACUUAUAUGGACUCCAUAGAAAUGUCAUCUGUUCUUGGGGUGUAUUUUAGCAUUGCCCGUGAGGCACAGGCCUGCAUGCUAUGGAAUAUAUAAAAAGGAUAUCCUCCAGCUAUAGGGGAUCGGAAAAUAAAAUUGAUGCAUUAAUAACGACACUGUCCUUUGGAUUUGCUUAUAUGGAAAAUGACAAUAAAGAGGCACAAUUUGUCCUUCAAGAUAUCCUCGA